rnacentral:lncRNA from 1 species
GAAUCAGAGUUCCUUCAGACACUUGUCAAAAACAAGAAGAGCAAAGAUGCCAGAUUAUUUAAUUUCACUUUCAGAUAUAUUGAUGAUGUUCUUUCCAUAAACAAUCCGAACUUUUCUGAUUCGGUUCCAAUAAUAUAUCCCCCAGAACUAGAAAUUGAAGAAACAACAUACACGGCUUCCUCCGCCUCAUUUUCAGACUUAUAUCUCGAAUUUGACUAACACAGUCAUCUCAGUACCGGACUAUAUGACAGACGAGACGGUUUUGAUUUUUGAAAUUAUAAAUUUCCCC